UCCAAUUGCACCAAGCAUGUAGUUCUUGGAUUUAUGAUGCUAAGCCUUUUUUCAGCAAUCUCAAUUCACCGAAAAUUUGGCUUAAUUCAAAAUGAGAACAAUCACAACCUCAUUGGAAUCAGAUUCAAUUGGAUUAAGCCAAAUUUUGUUAUUAUAGCUAAACAGCAGGUGGCAGUAGAAUACAAUUUUUUUCCUUCGUUUUUUUUUUUUUUUGGCUUGCUGUUGCUAUGUACAACUAAAUUCCCCUAAAAGGGACAGUUGUACUCUAAGAAGUUCAAAUAUUUAUUUUCCCUUUAAAAUUUCUUUUGUUUUGGCUUCAUAGACAAACAAUACUUGAAUCCUUUGAUGGCUGCCAUGCUGAGAUGGCUAUUUUUUCCUGACUCCUGUCUCCUCUGGCUCCUGAGGCACAAACAAAUACCUUGGCAAGCUAUCAAAGGUAGAGUCUUCAGGAAAACCUGUUUCAUCCUUGCCUGGAAGAACUCCACCACCGGACCAAGAUAUCUCAGAACCGAUGAUAAUCCACAAGUGCAACAGAGAAGAGAACAUCUCAACUAGGUGCAUUCACUCAUUUUAUACAUAACCAAUUCAAACAUACUAUGGCUGAUCAUUUUUAAAAUUACAAACAUUGGGAUUUCAGAACUGUAAAAAUGACCCCAUUUUUCACUGCAUGAACAAGGACUCUAUUGCUCUUGAUGCAAAAACUGAAGAUGGAAGGAAAACCACGGAAUACAUUCAAAUGGAAGCACAAUGAUAUUUGAGGCUACAUAUGCAGCAUGCUUCCUAGGAAUGCUAUUAAUUCAGAUGCGUGUGAAUGAAGAAUUUUAAUUUACCUC